UACUAUGCAGACUGUAUUUCCAGAAACCUGCUCAGCCAGCUCCUGAUGGAGAACACAUGUAGGAAGAAGUUGGUCCCACUGAAGCAGGAGAGCAAGGAGGUACAUCUUGAUUGUGCACUGAACCAGAAAUAUUUGGUUGACUUCAACAAGAAAGAUAAAGACCAGCAACGUCCAGACCCAGCAUCAUCUGGUCUCAGAAAGUGCAAGAGAGCUGGAAUUGGACACACACCAGUAAGAGAGCUUCCUGAAGAAUAAGUUGCUUUCUCAGGAGUCCCUGAUGAAAACAUCCUGAAUGAAAACAGCACUUGAGAGACAACUUGGGGGACCUCCUUUCAUUAUGUGUGCAAGAGGAGAAACAGCAAUACAUCUGUGCUUCCAAAUGUUCGUUAAGAAUGUGAUGUUUAGAAAUAUUUUUGUUAUGAUUUUAAUUGAAAUUUUCUUUUUGUUGUUUCAUAUUUAUAUGUUCUUGUUACUGUUUUUAUCUUUUCAAAUAUUUUUAAAUAUUUUAAUUUAUUUGUUUUAAUCCUGUUUUGUUGUAAAAAUGAAUUCCUUAUGAAUAAAAAUUGAAUUCUA